CCUACGGGUGGCAGCAGUGAGGAAUAUUGGUCAAUGGGCGCGAGCCUGAACCAGCCAAGUCGCGUGAGGGAUGACGGUCCUACGGAUUGUAAACUUCUUUUGUCGGGGAGCAAGGGUGCGUUCGUGAACGCAUGUCGAGAGUACCUGGAGAAAAAGCAUCGGCUAACUCCGUGCCAGCAGCGGCGGUAAUACGGGGGAUGCGAGCGUUAUCCGGAUUUAUUGGGUUUAAAGGGUGGGUAGGGGGGAUGUCAAGUCAGCGGGAAAGAUGCGGGGCGAAACGUCGUAGAGCAGUUGAUACUGGCGUUCUUGAGUGGGCGAGAGGUAUGCGGAAUGCGUGGUGUAGCGGUGAAAUGCAUAGAUAUCACGCAGAACUCCGAUUGCGAAGGCAGCAUGCCGGCGCCCUACUGACGCUGAGGCUCGAAAGCGUGGGUAUCGAACAGGAUUAGAUACCCCAGUAGUC
rnacentral:rRNA from 1 species